UGGUCUCUAUCAAUUUUGAAAAUGAGUAAAUUGAUAUUUCUCUCCACAAAAUUUACAAAAAAAAUUUAAAAUAUUUAUAAAAUUUUUAAAAUUUAUAUUUUUUUAAAAAUAUAAAAAUUUUAAAAAAAUCUAAAGAAUAUAUAAAUAAAAUAAAAAAUUUUACAAUAAUUUUUGGACCUAAGUAAGUUUAUCAUAUUAAAGUAUCUUGUUUUACUUUGAAAAAGUUUUCUAAUAUAUAAGGUUUCAAAUUUAUGCGUUAUAACAUAAAAUUAGUUAUUGGUUAGACUUUUACGGGAGGCAACAAUGGGGAAUUUUCCGCAAUGGGCGAAAGUCUGACAGAGCAAUGCCGCGUGCAGGUAGAAGGCCCACGAGUUGUGAAUUUCUUUUCCUAGAUAAGAAGUAAUGACGAUAUCUAGGGAAUAAGCAUAGGCUAACUUUGUGCCAGCAUUCGCGGUAAUACAAAGGACACAAGUGUUAUCUAGAAUGAUUGGGCGUAAAGAGUCUGUAGGUGGCUUUUUAAGUCCACCGUCAAAUCCCAUGGCUCAACCCUGGAUAGGCAAUGGAAACUACCAAGCUGGAGUACGGUAGGGGCAGAGGGAAUUUUCGGUGGAGCGAUAAAAUGCCUAAAGAUCGAAAAGAAUACCAACGGCGAAAGCACUCUGUUGGGCCGACACUGACACUGAAAGACAAAAGCUAGGAGAGCGAAUGGGAUUAGAUAGCCCAAAAGUUCCUAGCCAUAAAAGAUGGGUACUAGGCGCUGUGCAUAUCGACCCGUGUAGUGUUGUAGCUAACGCGUUAAGUAUCCCGCCUAGGGAGUACAUUCGCAAGAAUGAAACUCAAAGGAAUUGACAAGGGCCCACGCAAGCAGUGGAGCAUGUGGUUUAAUUCGAUGCAAAGCGAGAAACCUUACCAGGGUUUGACAUGCCGCGAAUCAUCUUGAAAGAGAGGGAUCAAGAGGUGCCUUCGGGAAUGCGGAUACAGGUGGUGCAUGGCUGUCAUCAGCUUGUGUUGUAAGGUGUUGGGUUAAGUCUCGCAACAAGUGCAACCCUCGUGUUUAGUUGCCAUUGUUGAGUUUGGAACCCUGAGCAGACUGCCAGUGAUAAGCCAGAGGAAGGUGAGGAUGAUGUCAAGUCAUCAUGCCCUUUAUUCCUUAGGCAAUACACGUGCUACAAUGGACGAGACAAAGGGUCGUAAUCUCGCAAGGGUGAGCUAACUCUAAAAACCUGUCCUCAGUUCGGAUUGUAGGCUACAACUCGUUUGCAUGAAGCCAAAAUCACUAGUAAUCGCCGGUUAGCCAUACGGUGGUGAAUUCAUUCUCGGGCUUUGUACACAUUGCUCGUCACACUAUGGGAGUUAGCCAUGCCCAAAGUCGUUAUCUUAACCGCAAGGAGAGGGAUGCCAAAGGCAAGGCUAGUGAUUGGAGUGAAGUCGUAACAAGGUAGUCGUAUUGGAAGGUAUGGCUG
rnacentral:rRNA from 1 species